rnacentral:misc_RNA from 1 species
GAUGAAGAACGUAGCGAAAUGCGAUACGUAAUGUGAAUUGCAGAAUUCAGCGAAUCAUCGAAUCUUUGAACGCAUAUUGCGCUCUCUGGUAUUCCGGAGAGCAUGCUUGUUUGAGUAUCAGUAAACACCUCAACUUCCAUAUCUUUUUUGAAAUGGGAGUUGGACUUGAGUGAUCCCAACGCUUUUCCUCACCGAAAAGUGGCGGGUUACUUGAAAUGCAGGUGCAGCUGGACUUUUCUCUGAGCUAUAAGCAUAUCUAUUUAGUCUGCCUAAAAAACAGAUUAUUACCUUUGCUGCAGCUAACAUAAAGGAGAUUAGUUCUUGUGCUGACUGAUGCAGGAUUCACAAAGACAGGCUUCGGCCGACUUUGUAAACUCGAUCUCAAAUCAAGUAAGACUACCCGCUGAACUUAAGCAUAUCAAUAAGCGGAGGA